rnacentral:rRNA from 1 species
GACGAACGCUGGCGGCGUGCCUAAUACAUGCAAGUCGAACGCAGUGGCGACGGGUGAGUAACACGUGGGUAACCUCCCAUCAGAGGGGAUAACACUUGGAAACAGGUGCUAAACCGAUACUGAUGGAUGGACCCGCGGUGCAUUAGCUAGUUGGUGAGGUAACGGCUCACCAAGGCCACGAUGCAUAGCCGACCUGAUGGGGUUAUCGUCCACAUUGGGGCGGCAGCGCGACCCGUACUCCAGCGAGAGGGAGCAUUAGGAAAUCUACGACCAUAGACGAAGGUCUGCCCGGGCAACGCAGCGUGAGUGCAGACGGUUUUCGGAUCGUAAAACUCUGUUGUUAGAGAAGCAGUAUCUAGCCAGAAAGCCACGGCUAGCUGCAUGCCAGCAGCCGCGGUAAUUC